rnacentral:rRNA from 1 species
GAUGAACGCUGACAGAAUGCUUAACACAUGCAAGUCGACUCGAGUCUUCGGACUUGGGUGGCGCACGGGUGAGUAACGCGUAAAGAACUUGCCUCUUAGACCGGGACAACAUCUGGAAACGGAUGCUAAUACCGGAUAUUAUGGUUUUUUCGCAUGGAGGAAUCAUGAAAGCUAGAUGCGCUAAGAGAGAGCUUUGCGUCCCAUUAGCUGGUUGGUGAGGUAACGGCCCACCAAGGCAAUGAUGGGUAGCCGGCCUGAGAGGGUGAACGGCCACAAGGGGACUGAGACACGGCCCUUACUCCUACGGGAGGCAGCAGUGGGGAAUAUUGGACAAUGGACCGCAAGUCUGAUCCAGCAAUUCUGUGUGCACGAUGACGUUUUUCGGAAUGUAGAGUGCUUUCAGUCGGGAAGAAGUCAGUGACGGUUCCGACAGAAGAAGCGACGGCUAAAUACGUGCCAGCAGCCGCGGUAAUACGUAUGUCGCAAGCGUUAUCCGGAUUUAUUGGGCGUAAAGCGCGUCUAGGCGGCAAGGAAAGUCUGAUGUGAAAAUGCGGAGCUCAACUCCGUAUGGCGUUGGAAACUGCCUUACUAGAGUACUGUAGAGGUAGGCGGAACUACAAGUGUAGAGUUGAAAUUCGUAGAUAUUUGUAGGAAUGCCGAUGGGGAAGCCAUUCUACUGGAACAGAUACUGACGCUUAAUCGCGAAAGCGUGGUUGAGCAAACAUGAUGAUAUACCCUGGUAGUCCAAUGGCGUAUUCCACUGUGUAUAUGAGCUUAUCGAUCCCGUGACCUCGGGGAAAACAAGGUAUACAGUUUUGAUUCCUUUUGUGAUGGUGAUUAUGCCUGCUUGCUCCCCCCCCCUGUUCUGCUGUGUGUUUCGCUGCUUCUGUUACCUUGUGUUGUUCCGUGUGUGUUCUUAUUUUUGUGUGUGUGUGUUGUCUGUGUGCUCUUCUCGCUGUGUUG